GACGAACGCUGGCGGCGCGCCUAACCAAUGAAAGUCAAACGAGCGAGGGGGAGCUUCUUUUCUUGAGCGAGUGGCGAACGGGUGAGUAACGCGUGAGGAACCUGCCUCAAAGAGGGGGACAACAGUUGGAAACGACUGCUAAUACCGCAAAAGCCCACGGUGCCGCAUGCCACAGGGGGAAAAGGAGCAAUCCGCUUUGAGAUGGCCUCGCGUCCGAUUAGCUAGUUGGUGAGGUAACGGCCCACCAAGGCGACGAUCGGUAGCCGGACUGAGAGGUUGAACGGCCACAUUGGGACUGAGACACGGCCCAGACUCCUACGGGAGGCAGCAGUGGGGAAUAUUGCACAAUGGGGGAAACCCUGAUGCAGCGACGCCGCGUGGAGGAAGAAGGUCUUCGGAUUGUAAACUCCUGUUGUUGGGGAAGAUAAUGACGGUACCCAACAAGGAAGUGACGGCUAACUACGUG
rnacentral:rRNA from 1 species